rnacentral:lncRNA from 1 species
AAUUAGUUCAAAAUGUAACAGUGAAGACUUAGAAAACUUUGAGAUAUGUUCUGCAUCAGUUAAUGUCAGUUUUAAAAUCAGUGUCAGUACUUUCAAAAUGACAACGUCAAACAUUCAAAAUCAGAAUCGAAACACAGCCGAAGCAUUUUCAAAAGCUGCAAAAUACGUUUGAUAUUGGAACUCAACAGAAUGCCACCAAUACGAGUGCAAACGAAAACAGUAUCAACGCGUCGCCAUUACACGUCAAAAACAAAACAAAAUUCGGCGGGAAUUUCAAAAAUGGAACAAUAACCUCUAACUCGGCCACGGACGCCGUUCAGUUAAAAAGACAAAAUCGGCCAGUAUUUACUCACGAUCGAAUGGCCGACACUUCGCUGGCGGAAUUCUUUUACCGAUACCGAUAUCGAUAUGAGAAUCGAUUGCAGUUCGUGGGAAUCGAAUGGAAUUUCAUUAUACGAUGAUUGGGUUUUGGUAAAUAGUUUUUAUUGUAUUCUGUUG